GUUGUGGUUAAAAAGCUCGUAGUUGGAUCUCGGCGGACUGAGGGCGGUUUGCUUGCUAGUAUUACUGCCCUAUAGUCCGUAGUUUUGCCAGAGGUUUCGGGGUGCUCUUAAUCGAGUGUCCCGGGAUGCUGGCAGGUUUACUUUGAAAAAAUUAGAGUGCUCAAAGCAGGCUAUUACGCCUGAAUAUUCGUGCAUGGAAUAAUAGAAUAGGAAGUCGUUUCUAUUUUGUUGGUUUUCGGAAAUCGACUUAAUGAUUAAUAGGGACAGUCGGGGGCAUUUGUAUUCAAACGACAGAGGUGAAAUUCUUGGACCGUUUGAAGACAAACUACUGCGAAAGCAUUUGCCAAGAAUGUUUUCAUUAAUCAAGAACGAAAGUUAAAGGUUCGAAGGCGAUUAGAUACCGCCCUAGUUUUAACCAUAAACGAUGCCAGCUAGCGAUCUGCGGACGUUUUUUUUGUAGACUCCGCAGGAAGCUUCCGGGAAACCAAAGCAUUUGGGUUCCAGGGGAAGUAUGGUUGCAAAGCUGAAACUUAAAGGAAUUGACGGAAGGGCACCACCAGGAGUGGAGCCUGUGGCUUAAUUUGACUCAACACGGGAAAUCUCACCAGGCCCGGACACUGGAAAGAUUGACAGAUUGAUAGCUCUUUCUUGAU
rnacentral:rRNA from 1 species